rnacentral:rRNA from 1 species
CGAAAGCCUGACGGAGCAAUACCGCGUGAGGGAGGAAGGCUCUUGGGUCGUAAACCUCUUUUCUCAGGGAAGAACACAAUGACGGUACCUGAGGAAUAAGCAUCGGCUAACUCCGUGCCAGCAGCCGCGGUAAUACGGAGGAUGCAAGCGUUAUCCGGAAUGAUUGGGCGUAAAGCGUCCGCAGGUGGCAAUGUAAGUCUGCUGUUAAAGAGUCUAGCUCAACUAGAUAAGAGCAGUGGAAACUACAUAGCUAGAGUACGUUCGGGGCAGAGGGAAUUCCUGGUGUAGCGGUGAAAUGCGUAGAGAUCAGGAAGAACACCGGUGGCGAAGGCGCUCUGCUAGGCCGUAACUGACACUGAGGGACGAAAGCUAGGGGAGCGAAUGGGAUUAGAUACCCCAGUAGUCCUAGCCGUAAACGAUGGAUACUAGGCGUGGCUUGUAUCGACCCGAGCCGUGCCGUAGCUAACGCGUUAAGUAUCCCGCCUGGGGAGUACGCCGGCAACGGUGAAACUCAAAGGAAUUGACGGGGGCCCGCACAAGCGGUGGAGUAUGUGGUUUAAUUCGAUGCAACGCGAAGAACCUUACCAAGGCUUGACAUGUCGCGAAUCUUCUCGAAAGGGGAGAGUGCCUUCGGGAGCGCGAACACAGGUGGUGCAUGGCUGUCGUCAGCUCGUGUCGUGAGAUGUUGGGUUAAGUCCCGCAACGAGCGCAACCCUCGUUUUUAGUUGCCAGCAUUAAGUUGGGCACUCUAGAGAGACUGCCGGUGACAAACCGGAGGAAGGUGGGGAUGACGUCAAGUCAGCAUGCCCCUUACGCCUUGGGCUACACACGUACUACAAUGCUCCGGACAGAGGGCAGCAAGCAUGCGAAUGCAAGCAAAUCCCGUAAACCGGAGCUCAGUUCAGAUCGCAGGCUGCAACUCGCCUGCGUGAAGGAGGAAUCGCUAGUAAUUGCAGGUCAGCAUACUGCAGUGAAUUCGUUCCCGGGCCUUGUACACACCGCCCGUCACACCAUGGAAGCUGGUAGUGCCCGAAGUCAUUACUCC